rnacentral:rRNA from 1 species
CCUACGGGAGGCAGCAGUGAGGAAUAUUGGUCAAUGGGCGAGAGCCUGAACCAGCCAAGUCGCGUGAAGGAUGACGGCCCUACGGGUUGUAAACUUCUUUUGUCAGGGAGCAAUUGGGUCCACGCGUGGGCUUAGCGAGAGUACCUGAAGAAAAAGCAUCGGCUAACCCCGUGCCAGCAGCCGCGGUAAUACGGAGGAUGCGAGGGUUAUCCGGGUUUAUUGGGUUUAAAGGGUGCGUAGGCGGAAUAUCAAGUCGGCGGGAAAAAUUCGGGGCUCAACCCCGUCGUGCCGUUGAAACUGAUGUUCUUGAGUGGGCGAGAAGUAUGCGGAAUGCGUGGUGUAGCGGUGAAAUGCAUAGAUAUCACGCAGAACUCCGAUUGCGAAGGCAGCAUACCGGCGCCCAACUGACGCUGAAGCACGAAAGCGUGGGUAUCGAACAGGAUUAGAUACCCCGGUAGUC